CGCUAGCGGCAGGCCUAACACAUGCAAGUCGAACGGCAGCACGGACUUCGGUCUGGUGGCGAGUGGCGCACGGGUGCGUAACGCGUAUACAAUCUACCUUUUACAGGGGGAUAGCCCAGAGAAAUUUGGAUUAAUACCCCAUGGCAUAUUUUUGUGGCAUCACAGAUAUAUUAAAGACCCAUCGGUAAGAGAUGAGUAUGCGUUCUAUUAGCUAGUUGGUGCGGUAACGGCGCACCAAGGCGACGAUAGAUAGGGGCCCUGAGAGGGGGAUCCCCCACACUGGUACUGAGACACGGACCAGACUCCUACGGGAGGCAGCAGUGAGGAAUAUUGGACAAUGGGCGAGAGCCUGAUCCAGCCAUGCCGCGUGCAGGAAGACGGCCCUAUGGGUUGUAAACUGCUUUUAUACGGGAAGAAACACCCCCUCGUGAGGGGGCUUGACGGUACCGUAAGAAUAAGGAUCGGCUAACUCCGUGCCAGCAGCCGCGGUAAUACGGAGGAUCCAAGCGUUAUCCGGAAUCAUUGGGUUUAAAGGGUCCGUAGGUGGACGGUUAAGUCAGAGGUGAAAUCCUGCAGCUCAACUGUAGAAUUGCCUUUGAUACUGGUCGUCUUGAGUCGUUGUGAAGUGGUUGGAAUAUGUAGUGUAGCGGUGAAAUGCAUAGAUAUUACAUAGAA
rnacentral:rRNA from 1 species